UACAGAGGGGGCGAGCGUUGUCCGGAAUUAUUGGGCGUAAAGAGCUCGUAGGCGGUUUUGUCGCGUCGGCCGUGAAAUCUCCACGCUUAACGUGGAGCGUGCGGUCGAUACGGGCAGACUAGAGUUCGGUAGGGGAGUCUGGAAUUCCUGGUGUAGCGGUGAAAUGCGCAGAUAUCAGGAGGAACACCGGUGGCGAAGGCGGGACUCUGGGCCGA
rnacentral:rRNA from 1 species